rnacentral:rRNA from 1 species
GAACUGAAGAGUUUGAUCCUGGCUCAGAUUGAACGCUGGCGGCAUGCCUUACACAUGCAAGUCGAACGGCAGC